rnacentral:rRNA from 1 species
CAUAGCAGGUACCGAACUGUGUCUUGUACAACUUGCACUUUAAAAAAAAAAAGUGCUUUUUGUUCAUGUCCGAGGGGGUCGUGAAGAUCAUACUUGCGAGUUUUUGUGCUCGGAAGGGUUAUGAUGACUAUAUAAUAAUCAGACAUAGUAUGCUAAGGUAGUAUGUCUAAAGGGAAACAGCCCAGAACAAGAGUUAAUAAGGUUCCAAAAUUAUUGUUAAGUGAAAAUAAGGAAGUUUCAAUCAGAAAUGUCCAGGAAAUAGACUUAGAUGCGGCCAUUUUUUAAAGACCUCGUAACAGAGCACUGGUUCAGUAAAUUAUUUUUAUAAUUUAUAUUGAUAAAAGCACCGAAAAUUUAACGGAUCUAAACAAUAUACCCAGACCUUGUCCAUAUUUAUAUAUAUAUCUAAGUUAUAUAUUGUACUUAUGGGGUAGCAGAACAUUGGGCAAACCUCAGAUUUUUUCUUUUUAAGACUUAAGAUAAGAUAACCCUAGAGAUAAUGCUGACAUGAGUAACGAUAAAGGGAAUUAAUUAUUCCCUCGCCUAAAACUUAUGGUAUUUACUUAAAGUAACGGCCUCUAAGUUUAUGAACCUAAAGGACUAAACGAUGAGAAAAUCUUCCACUUUUUUCUUAUUUUUCUCAUUUUUUAUCCCUAUUUUUUCUCGUUUUUCUCUGGUUUUACCAUUAAUGGUAAAAAAAGAAAAAACGAAGGGAUAAAAAAGAAAAAAAAGCAAAUCAAAAAAACAACCGAGAGGCUAGCCUAUUGGAGACGUAGGUCUAGUGCUUGGUGCUUAGUGUACCGGUGCUGGAAAAUUUUAAGUGGUGCAUUAUAAAGGCGAGGAGGCUAUCUCCCGCCUAUUAUGGUGUAAAAUCACCGUACCUAGAAACUAACCCCAAG